AUGAACGCUGGCGGCGUGCCUAAUACAUGCAAGUCGAGCGAACAGACGAGGAGCUUGCUCCUCUGACGUUAGCGGCGGACGGGUGAGUAACACGUGGAUAACCUACCUAUAAGACUGGGAUAACUUCGGGAAACCGGAGCUAAUACCGGAUAAUAUAUUGAACCGCAUGGUUCAAUAGUGAAAGACGGUUUUGCUGUCACUUAUAGAUGGAUCCGCGCCGCAUUAGCUAGUUGGUAAGGUAACGGCUUACCAAGGCAACGAUGCGUAGCCGACCUGAGAGGGUGAUCGGCCACACUGGAACUGAGACACGGUCCAGACUCCUACGGGAGGCAGCAGUAGGGAAUCUUCCGCAAUGGGCGAAAGCUUGACGGAGCAACGCCGCGUGAGUGAUGAAGGUCUUCGGAUCGUAAAACUCUGUUAUUAGGGAAGAACAAAUGUGUAAGUAACCAUGCACGUCUUGACGGUACCUAAUCAGAAAGCCACGGCUAACUACGUG
rnacentral:rRNA from 1 species